UCCCUGAUGGUCCAGUGGUUAGUACUUGGCACUUUCACUGCCAAGGGUGGGUGUUCAAUCCCUGAUCAGGGAA
rnacentral:tRNA from 1 species